rnacentral:rRNA from 1 species
UACGAAGGGGGCUAGCGUUGCUCGGAAUUACUGGGCGUAAAGCGCGUGUAGGCGGUUGUCCAAGUCGGGUGUGAAAGCCUUGAGCUCAACUCAAGAAAUGCACUCGAUACUGGGUGACUUGAGGACCGGAGAGGAUAGUGGAAUUCCCAGUGUAGUGGUGAAAUACGUAGAGAUUGGGAAGAACACCAGUGGCGAAGGCGGCUAUCUGGACGGUUUCUGACGCUAAGACGCGAAAGCGUGGGGAGCAAACAGG